UUUACAAAAUAUUUAUAAAGAAGUCUAACUUGUUACGCACCUACAAUUUCAAAGGAGUUUGAAGAUAACUUGGCCCUGGUGAGGAACCUCGCCGACCAACAGGACGAGAAUCUGGCGGACAACGCUUUAGAGGACUUUGAAAUGGGUGCAGGGUGCGCGGACGUUUUCUUUUUCGGAGAAGACCGUUCGAAAGAGUUUGAAGAUCGCCUCAACUGGAAGAACUGCUCUUUAUGCAAAGUCAAA